UACGUAGGCGACAAGCGUUGUCCGGAUUUACUGGGCGUAAAGAGCGCGCAGGCGGUCGUUCAAGUCGAGUGUGAAAGCCCCCGGCUCAACUGGGGAGGGUCACGCGAUACUGAUCGACUGGAAGGCAGGAGAGGGUAGUGGAAUUCCCGGUGUAGUGGUGAAAUGCGUAGAUAUCGGGAGGAACACCAGUGGCGAAGGCGACUACCUGGCCUGUUCUUGACGCUGAGGCGCGAAAGCUAGGGGAGCAAACGGGG
rnacentral:rRNA from 1 species